rnacentral:pre_miRNA from 1 species
CAAAUACUCCCUCUGUCUGGAAAUACUUGUCAUCAAAAUGGAUAAAAGGAAAUGUAUCUAGAAGUAUUUUAGUUUUAGAUACAUCUCUUUAUAUCCAUUUUGAUGACAAGUAUUUUCGGACGGAGGGAGUAGAAA